AUUGAACGCUGGCGGUAUGCUCAACACAUGCAAGUCGAACGGUAACAGGCCUAGCUUGCUAGGUGCUGACGAGUGGCGGACGGGUGAGUAACGCGUAGGAAUCUGCCUUAUUGUGGGGGAUAACCUGAGGAAACUUAGGCUAAUACCGCAUGAGCCCUAAGGGGGAAAGGAUGGGAUCUUCGGACCAUUCGCGAUAAGAUGAGCCUGCGUUGGAUUAGCUAGUUGGUGGGUAAAGGCCUACCAAGGCGAGGAUCCAUAGCUGGUCUGAGAGGACGAUCAGCCACACUGGGACUGAGACACGGCCCAGACUCCUACGGGAGGCAGCAGUGGGGAAUAUUGGACAAUGGGGGCAACCCUGAUCCAGCAAUACCGCGUGUGUGAAGAAGGCCUGCGGGUUGUAAAGCACUUUCAGUGGGGAGGAAGAGCUUAGUGUUAAUAGCACUGAGUUGAGACGUUACCCACAGAAGAAGCACCGGCUAACUCUGUGCCAGCCGCCGCGGUAA
rnacentral:rRNA from 1 species